CUUAGAAUGAAAUAGCCCAGAAGUCAGUUGGGGACACUGCAUUGCUCAGGAGAGAGGCUGGAGGAGGAAGGUCAACCAGGAAGCCCUCAAAGCAUCACAGACAGUAGAGCUGGUAUGGUUACAGAAGUCGUGUGGAGACCCCUGGGCUUACUUAAGGAUUCUUCCGAGAAUCAGUUUCAUCUUGGCUCAAAGGAAACAAAAAUACGCCUCUGGAUGCUACUGACUGGAGAACCUCACCUCACACCUGAGUCACACCUGAAGCCUCGCUUAAUGAGUUUUCAAGUGUUGUGAGGAGCCAGAGGAAGAAGCUUUCUCCUGAAAGGUGAGGUCUCAGAGAGAGCAGCGGGGAUCACCUAAUGGAAGAUGUGAAGAAGGUUUGAGAUGGAGGCUGUAGUGGGGUCCAAAGGAGGGGAGAGAAUGCAGGUGGGGAGGGCACAGGUGGGUGGAUCAUAGGACUUAGAGGACCCUACCCUUGGGUACUCAAUGCUGGAAGGCAGUAUCCCUUGGUUGGGACAAGGGAAGAUCUAAAUUAAGCCUUGGAGAUCCCAUUGUGGCUCAUCGGGUUAAGAACUUGACUAGUAUCCAUGAGGAUGUGGGUUCAAUCCCUGGCCUCACUCAAUGGGUUAAGGAUCUGGAGUUGCCGAGAGCUGUGGCGUAGGUCGAAGAUUUAGCUUGGAUCUGGUUCUGGUGUAGGCUGGCAAUUGCAGCUCUGGUUCUACCCUUAGCUAGCCCUGGAGCUUCCAUAUGCCACAGGUUUGGCCAUAAAAAAGAAAUAAAUAAGUAAAUAAAUAAAGCCUUUAUUUCUCC
ensembl:lncRNA